rnacentral:rRNA from 1 species
GAUAAACGCUGGCGGCGUGCCUAACACAUGCAAGUCGAACGCCCUUAACGCAAGUAAGGGACGUGGCGGACGGGUGAGGAACACGUGGGUGAUCUGCCUUGAGGUGAGGAAUACCGGCGAGAAAUCGCCGACAAUACCGCAUACGUUCGCAAGAACAAAGUCGCAAGACGCCUUGAGAUGAGCCUGCGUCCGAUUAGCUAGUUGGUGGGGUAAAAGCCUACCAAGGCAGCGAUCGGUAGCUGGUCUGAGAGGACGAUCAGCCACACU